rnacentral:rRNA from 1 species
GACGAACGCUGGCGGCGUGCUUAACACAUGCAAGUCGAACGAAGUGGCGAACGGGUGAGUAAUACGUGGGUAACCUGCCCUCCUUUUUGGGGUAAGCCUUUGAAACGGGGUCUAAUACCGAAUACUGGGGGAUGGGCUCGCGGCCUAUCUGCUGGUUGGUGGGGUGCUGGCCUACCAAGGCGGUGACGGGUAGCCGGACUGAGAGGGUGAACGGCCACUGUGGGACGGAGAUAAGGCCCAGACUAGUACGGGAGGGAGAAGUGGGGGAUAUGGCAGAAUGGGCGAAAGCGUGAUGCAGCGACGCCGCGGGGGGGAUGAAGGCUUUAGGGUUGUAAACGUCGUUCGGUAACGAACGGGUAGGUGGAGAAGAAGCGCCGGCUAACUACGUGCCAGCAGCCGCGGUAAUAC